AUACUCCGAGAACUGAAAGGCUUUUUGAAGUCUUCGGAUGGAUAGAAGAACCCCUGAUGCCGUCGAGCCAAGAAAAGUUUCUAAGUUUAGCUAAUGUUGCCCGUACCGUAAACCGACACAGGUGGGUGGGAUGAGUAUUCUAAGGCGCGUGGAAGAACUCUCUUUAAGGAACUCUGCAAAAUAGCACCGUAUCUUCGGUAUAAGGUGUGGUUAGCUUCGUACUAGGAUUUACUCCGAAAGCGAAGAAACUUACAACAAAGAGUCCCUCCCGACUGUUUACCAAAAACACAGCACUCUGCUAACUCGUAAGAGGAUGUAUAGGGUGUGACGCCUGCCCGGUGCUCGAAGGUUAAUUGAUGGGGUUAGCAUUAGCGAAGCUCUUGAUCGAAGCCCGAGUAAACGGCGGCCGUAACUAUAACGGUCCUAAGGUAGCGAAAUUCCUUGUCGGUUAAAUACCGACCUGCAUGAAUGGCGUAACGAGAUGGGAGCUGUCUCAAAGAGGGAUCCAGUGAAAUUGUAGUGGAGGUGAAAAUUCCUCCUACCCGCGGCAAGACGGAAAGACCCCGUGGACCUUUACUACAGCUUGACACUGCUACUUGGAUAAGAAUGUGCAGGAUAGGUGGGAGGCUUUGAGUAUAUGACGCCAGUUGUAUAUGAGCCAUUGUUGAGAUACCACUCUUUCUUAUUUGGGUAGCUAACCAGCUUGAGUUAUCCUCAAGUGGGACAAUGUCUGGUGGGUAGUUUGACUGGGGCGGUCGCCUCCCAAAUAAUAACGGAGGCUUACAAAGGUUGGCUCAGAACGGUUGGAAAUCGUUCGUAGAGUAUAAAGGUAUAAGCCAGCUUAACUGCAAGACAUACAAGUCAAGCAGAGACGAAAGUCGGUCUUAGUGAUCCGGUGGUUCUGUGUGGAAGGGCCAUCGCUCAAAGGAUAAAAGGUACCCCGGGGAUAACAGGCUGAUCUCCCCCAAGAGCUCACAUCGACGGGGAGGUUUGGCACCUCGAUGUCGGCUCAUCGCAUCCUGGGGCUGGAGCAGGUCCCAAGGGUAUGGCUGUUCGCCAUUUAAAGCGGUACGCGAGCUGGGUUCAGAACGUCGUGAGACAGUUCGGUCCCUAUCUGCCGUGGGCGUAAGAAGAUUGAAGAGAUUUGACCCUAGUACGAGAGGACCGGGUUGAACAAACCACUGGUGUAGCUGUUGUUCUGCCAAGAGCAUCGCAGCGUAGCUAAGUUUGGAAAGGAUAAACGCUGAAAGCAUCUAAGCGUGAAGCCAACUCUAAGAUGAAUCUUCUCUAAGCUCUCUAGAAGACUACUAGUUUGAUAGGCUGGGUGUGUAAUGGAUGAAAGUCCUUUAGCUGACCAGUACUAAUAGAGCGUUUGGCUUAUCUUUAAUAAAGCAU
rnacentral:rRNA from 1 species